GUUUCAGUACUUGUUUGUCUGCUUUCCUUUUUCUUUAGAUUGUGUUUCCCUCCUAGUACAUUGAAGUCACAUGUAGCAGCAGCUGAAGGGACAAAUAGAGGAAAUGAGAAAGGCAUUUAAUUAUGUGACCUGUGAUAAAGAUUUCCCUAAGAUGAGACUGAAGCUUAGCCUCCACAUGUGCCUGCAGUUAAUGUGUGGGGGAACAGAAAAAGGUCCUGGCAGUAAGAAGGUAGAAAGUACCUUUGGGCACAAGAGAUAUGUUCUCGGUUUUAUAAAGUAAGAAUGAAAAGGUAGAUUGGGUGCCAAAUCCUGGAGGACCUCCUAUAGUCUAGGGCUGGGGCAAAACCAAGAGAUUUAACCAUUUACUUUAACACACAUACUACUUUAUCUGAACACUAGGAUUCAGUCUUGCUACUUUCUUUUUGUCUUUGUAGGUAUAUUUUGUAAUUGUAGUAGAUUUUUUUUUUUAUUAUUUCUAUCUGAUGUUUUCACAUUUUUUUGGACUUAAUUCAUUCCUUUUUUCUUUUUUUAUUGAAUAUUUUUAUUUACAUUUCAAAUGUUAUGCCCUUUCCUAGUUUCCCCUCCAAAGCCUCCCUAGCCCCUCCCCCUCCUCCCCACCCACCCACUCCCAUUCCUGGCCCUGGCCUUCCCCUACACUGGGGCAUAGAACCUUCACAGGACCAAGUGCCUCUCCUCCCAUUGAUGACCGGCUAGGCCAUCCUCUGCUACAAAUAUAGCUAGAGCCACAAGUCCCACCAUGUGUUUUCUUUGAUUGGUGGUAUAGUUCCAAGGAGCUCUGGGGGUACUGGUUAGUUCAUAUUGAUGUUCCUUCUAUGGGGCUUCAGUCCCCUUCAGCUCCCUGGGUAUUUCACUGGCUCCUUCAUUGGGGAUCCUGUGCUCCGUCCAAUGGAUGACUGUGAGUAUCCACUUCUGUAUUUGCCAGGCACUGGCAGAGGCUCGCAGGAGACAGCUAUAUCAGGCUCCUGUCAAUAGGCUCUUGUUGGCAUCUGCCUAGUGUCUGGGUUUGGUGGUUGUUUAUGGGGUGGAUCCCCAUGUUUCUACAUUUUACAGAAUGAAAAUAAUCACAGGUGUACUGAAUUGUUUCAGCUUCUCAGUUUUCCUGUGGCUCUGGAGGCUCUUGUGGCACUUGAGUGCUGGGAAUGGAACCUGCCUCUUCUAGAAGAGGCUCCAAUGCUCUUUAUCUCUCUGGUUCAGUAUACUUUUGAUACUAUUGUAAUUCCAGAAUUUUCAACAUCAAAAUAAAGAUUAAUGUCAGAACUAGGGGAAACAGUGAAGUGCUAUUUGUGAGCCCAGUUUUAAUUAUAGCAAGUGGUAUAACCUUGGGAAAAUUAACCUCUGUAUUCCUCGGUUUUUGAAAAUAGAAAUAAAAUUAUACCUUACGGUUUGUUGAAAAGAUGAAAAUAAGUAAAUCAUUUUAAACAUCUAAACCAAUACGCAAUAUAAAUAUUCAAAAAGUAUUCAUUUAAUAUUAUGAUUUAGUUAUUUUAAAAAGAUAGCUAAGACAAUUUUACUACUUAGGAACCUAUGUACUUUUCAACAAAUCCAUUGUUGCACAUGCGUUGUUUUUUAACUGUUUAUUUCUAACUUAUGUAGAUGUGUGUGUGGACAUGUGAAUGUGAGUGAGGGUACUCACAGAGGCCUGAAGAAAGCUUUGCAUCCUCUAGCGCUGAAGUUGAAGUUGUUUAAGUUGUUGGAUGUGUGUUGCUGGAUCUAACUAGUCCUCUAUAAGAGCAGCAGGUGCUCUUACCCACUGAGCUGUCUCUCUUGCCCUCAUUAUUUUAUAUUUAAGAAACAUAUUUAACCCUCUGUCUUAGCUUAUUCAAGUCACUACACUCUCUAAACUGAACCUCAAAAUAUUACUAGCAUUCUUGCUCCUUUUACCCCAUCACAAAUAUUCCCAAGGGACCUGAAUAUAUGUUUUUACCACCAAAAAUGUUACUAAAUAAAGCAGAGAAAAUUGAAACUAGUUUUCUUGCUGGAUUUUGGUGGCCCACAUUGCUGGGAGCUUGUUGAAGCUUUUCUGUGAGACCCUUAUUUGCUGUCGUCAGUCCUCCUGCCUCCUCCCUCCACUGAGCACUUGCCCCUGCACCCUACCAUCCCACUCCUGGCUUUGUUACUGUGCUACUGUACACAGCCUACAUUCUAGCCUAGGCCUGUCGUUUCCCUUUUUUUCAGACUAGAGUUCCAUGAGAACAUGGGUUCAAUACCCAGAAGACAUAAAAUGUUGGGUGUGAUUACCUGCAUGUUUGUAAUUCCAGUGCUGGGGAAUGAAGGCAGGUGAUUCCCAGUACUUGCUGGCCAGAAAACCUAGCCAAACUGGCAAGCCCCAGGUCCCAGUGAGACACUCUGCCUCAAAAAACAAGAUAGAUAGAUGGUGAAGAACACUGUCUGAAGUUGACCUCUGGCUUCCACAAACAGGAGCACUGAUAUGUGUGUACAGUCAUGCACCCCCCCAACACACACACACACACAAAAAUUACUUAUGUUUUUCGGAAAUACCGCAUGUUCCUUCUCAUUGAAUGAAUCUGACUGACAGAAUGAAAGCAUCCUAGUUUCUUUUUGUCCUUAGAAAUACUCUUUUCUCAUUGAUUCUGGGUAAAAGAAAAGUGAGCUAGAAUUGUCCUCAUUUCCUGGAGAAACAGAAUGAUAAUUUUGUGGAUACUGUGAUUAUGUCAUUAUUGUCAUAUUCUACAGUGCUCCAGUCUCUUCACUGUAUGAUUGAGUUUUGCUUUUUUGGUUUGUUUGUUUUUUCCUGUCUGUUUGCAUCUAUAUCUAUAGCUGAAUGUUUUCAGCCUAACAGUAUCAAUGUCCUCUGAUAGCAUAACC
rnacentral:lncRNA from 1 species